rnacentral:rRNA from 1 species
CUGCUGCCUCCCGUAGGAGUUUGGGCCGUGUCUCAGUCCCAAUGUGGCCGUUCACCCUCUCAGGCCGGCUACUGAUCGUUGCCUUGGUAGGCCAUUACCCCACCAACUAGCUAAUCAGACGCGGAACCAUCGUAUACCACCAGAGUUUUUCACACCGCUUCAUGCGAAGCUGUGCGCUUAUGCGGUAUUAGCACCUAUUUCUAAGUGUUACUCCCCCAGUAUACGGCAGGUUUUCCACGCGUUACUCACCCGUCCGCCA